CCUCGUCUAGCCUACGUCACAUCCGGGAAGAUACUUCAGUUCAACACGGCAGAUGGACGGUGAGACUGGAGACGUGUGUGCCACGUCGGGGAUAAAAAUGGGAAGGUACAACUGGUUUUUACCACUUCGGCCGCAGCAGAUUGCUACUCGCAGCACACGUGAACGUUCAUUCUGCAGACUUUUCCAGCGAGGCCUGGCCUUCAGUGGCCCUGUCCUUUCCUGUACUGUCUGCUAGAGAGAUGUGGGGCUGUUUGAGGCCCUGCUGUGACUCUUCAUGGCAGGGUUAUAGGACUGCUGAGAUGAAGCCAAGUCCUGCCCCGCUCAGACCUCCUCACUGACAUCUGGUACUCAUGUAGGAGUUUGACGCUUAAGUGAAAAUUCAGGACUGCUGAGAUGAAGCCAAGACCUGCCCUGCUCAGACCUCCUCACUGACAUCUGGUACUCAUGUAGGAGUUUGACGCUUAAUUGAAAAUUCAGGACUGCUGAGAUGAAGCCAAGACCUGCCCCGCUCAGACCUCCUCACUGACAUCUGGUACUCAUGUAGGAGUUUGACGCUUAAUUGAAAAUUCAGCCCUGUGAUUGAUUGACUGGCGACCUGUACAGGAUGUACCCGGCCAAAUCAAAGCAGCUGUAGCCUAACAGAUGGAAGACAGUUUCCAGACUCCUGUUGCAGCUGUGGAUGGAAGAGGAGGACCUGGGAGUCAGCCAAAACUGACGUGGAGGGAUUACAGGUUUUCAGGACCUUCCUGGAUUGUCGGCAAAAGAUCAUGUGACUUUGAGCAUCGUCAGGAGAUAUCUGGACUUCAAGGAAGUAAAAGCACAGAGGAAGAAAUACUUUGAAUCAUUCCGACCCAAACCAAAGCACUGGGGGGCCGUAGUUCAUCCUGCGGAGGUCUCUCACUAAGACACAUUUACAUGAUUUCACAGAUUAUAUGAGGAUUGCUCCACUGUGUAUCAGAGGAUACAACCGACAGCUUGCCGAUAGAAGUGGUUCAAACUGUUUUUCUGAGAAGAAUGAAACUUUGACUGACCUCUACCUGCAAAUAGUGGGAACUGCAUCAACAUCUUCUGCACAGAUUUCUCACAACACACAUCGCUUCACUGUCCUUUGAAGUACCGAUGGAAGUUGAUAUAAACUGUAAAGUCACAUUUGCACAAAAUGAGGGAAUACACCAGCUGAUGAAAGCGGAAUUACAAUAGAAAAAUUGAGUAAAGAGAUAACAUGCAACAUACUGGUGCUGUGUCUUGAUUUUCUGGUUUGAGAAUGAGUUACACUUUAAUUUGUUUUGUGACAGAAGGAACAUCACCAACGAAAAUGUAACAUUGAACCCAUAUUUCACAAUAACUGAACUAGUAGGAAAGUGGGAUAUGAAACACUUGAAAUAAAAUUUAUCUGAACACGUU